rnacentral:rRNA from 1 species
GACGAACGCUGGCGGCGUGCCUAAUACAUGCAAGUAGAACGCUGAAGGAGGAGCUUGCUUCUCUGGAUGAGUUGCGAACGGGUGAGUAACGCGUAGGUAACCUGCCUGGUAGCGGGGGAUAACUAUUGGAAACGAUAGCUAAUACCGCAUAAUAGUAGAUGUUGCAUGACAUUUGCUUAAAAGGUGCAAUUGCAUCACUACCAGAUGGACCUGCGUUGUAUUAGCUAGUUGGUGAGGUAACGGCUCACCAAGGCAACGAUACAUAGCCGACCUGAGAGGGUGAUCGGCCACACUGGGACUGAGACACGGCCCAGACUCCUACGGGAGGCAGCAGUAGGGAAUCUUCGGCAAUGGACGGAAGUCUGACCGAGCAACGCCGCGUGAGUGAAGAAGGUUUUCGGAUCGUAAAGCUCUGUUGUAAGAGAAGAACGAGUGUGAGAGUGGAAAGUUCACACUGUGACGGUAUCUUACCAGAAAGGGACGGCUAACUACGUG